rnacentral:rRNA from 1 species
GACGAACGCUGGCGGCGUGCUUAACACAUGCAAGUCGAACGGAAAGGCCCUGCUUUUGUGGGGUGCUCGAGUGGCGAACGGGUGAGUAACACGUGAGUAACCUGCCCUUGACUUUGGGAUAACUUCAGGAAACUGGGGCUAAUACCGGAUAGGAGCUCCUGCUGCAUGGUGGGGGUUGGAAAGUUUCGGCGGUUGGGGAUGGACUCGCGGCUUAUCAGCUUGUUGGUGGGGUAGUGGCUUACCAAGGCUUUGACGGGUAGCCGGCCUGAGAGGGUGACCGGCCACAUUGGGACUGAGAUACGGCCCAGACUCCUACGGGAGGCAGCAGUGGGGAAUAUUGCACAAUGGGCGGAAGCCUGAUGCAGCAACGCCGCGUGCGGGAUGACGGCCUUCGGGUUGUAAACCGCUUUCGCCUGUGACGAAGCGUGAGUGACGGUAAUGGGUAAAGAAGCACCGGCUAACUACGUGCCAGCAGCCGCGGUGAUACGUAGGGUGCGAGCGUUGUCCGGAUUUAUUGGGCGUAAAGGGCUCGUAGGUGGUUGAUCGCGUCGGAAGUGUAAUCUUGGGGCUUAACCCUGAGCGUGCUUUCGAUACGGGUUGACUUGAGGAAGGUAGGGGAGAAUGGAAUUCCUGGUGGAGCGGUGGAAUGCGCAGAUAUCAGGAGGAACACCAGUGGCGAAGGCGGUUCUCUGGGCCUUUCCUGACGCUGAGGAGCGAAAGCGUGGGGAGCGAACAGGCUUAGAUACCCUGGUAGUCCACGCUGUAAACGGUGGGUACUAGGCGUGGGGUCCAUUCCACGGGUUCCGUGCCGUAGCUAACGCUUUAAGUACCCCGCCUGGGGAGUACGGCCGCAAGGCUAAAACUCAAAGGAAUUGACGGGGCCCCGCACAAGCGGCGGAGCAUGCGGAUUAAUUCGAUGCAACGCGUAGAACCUUACCUGGGUUUGACAUGGAUCGGGAGCGCUCAGAGAUGGGUGUGCCUCUUUUGGGGUCGGUUCACAGGUGGUGCAUGGCUGUCGUCAGCUCGUGUCGUGAGAUGUUGGGUUAAGUCCCGCAACGAGCGCAACCCUUGUUCACUGUUGCCAGCACGUUAUGGUGGGGACUCAGUGGAGACCGCCGGGGUCAACUCGGAGGAAGGUGGGGAUGACGUCAAGUCAUCAUGCCCCUUAUGUCCAGGGCUUCACGCAUGCUACAAUGGCUGGUACAGAGAGUGGCGAGCCUGUGAGGGUGAGCGAAUCUCGGAAAGCCGGUCUCAGUUCGGAUUGGGGUCUGCAACUCGACCUCAUGAAGUCGGAGUCGCUAGUAAUCGCAGAUCAGCAACGCUGCGGUGAAUACGUUCCCGGG